GACGAACGCUGGCGGCGUGCCUAAUACAUGCAAGUCGAACGAGAGCGCCCGGUGCUUGCACUGGUCAAUCUAGUGGCGAACGGGUGAGUAACACGUGGGUAACCUGCCCAUCAGAGGGGGAUAACAUCCGGAAACGGAUGCUAAAACCGCAUAGGUCUUCGAACCGCAUGGUUUGAAGAGGAAAAGAGGCGCAAGCUUCUGCUGAUGGAUGGACCCGCGGUGCAUUAGCUAGUUGGUGAGGUAACGGCUCACCAAGGCCGUGAUGCAUAGCCGACCUGAGAGGGUGAUCGGCCACAUUGGGACUGAGACACGGCCCAAACUCCUACGGGAGGCAGCAGCAGGGAAUCUUCCGCAAUGGACGCAAGUCUGACGGAGCAACGCCGCGUGAGUGAAGAAGGUGUUCGGAUCGUAAAACUCUGUUGUUAGAGAAGAACAAGUGCUAGAGUAACUGUUAGCGCCUUGACGGUAUCUAACCAGAAAGCCACGGCUAACUACGUG
rnacentral:rRNA from 1 species